rnacentral:rRNA from 1 species
UAUCAACGCUGGCGGCGUGCCUAACACAUGCAAGUCGUGCGCGAAAGGGGCUUCGGCCCUGAGUAGAGCGGCAAACGGGUGAGUAACGCGUGGGUGACCUACCCUUGAGUGGGGGAUAACAGUCCGAAAGGAUAGCUAAUACCGCAUGACAUCCCGUUCUUGAACGGAUGGAGAUCAAAGCCGGGGAUCGCAAGACCUGGCGCUCGAGGAGGGGCUCGCGUUCGAUUAGCUAGUUGGUGGGGUAAUGGCUCACCAAGGCGACGAUCGAUAGCCGGCCUGAGAGGGCGGACGGCCGCACUGGGACUGAGACACGGCCCAGACUCCUACGGGAGGCAGCAGUGGGGAAUUGUUCGCAAUGGGCGCAAGCCUGACGACGCAACGCCACGUGGAGGAUGAAGAUCUUCGGGUCGUAAACUCCUGUCGACCGGGACGAAAUUUCCGGGAGCUAACAUCUCCCGGGAUUGACGGUACCGGUGGAGGAAGCCCCGGCUAACUCCGUGCCAGCAGCCGAC